UCGUCAGGUGGGAUAAUCCUUACCUGUUCCUCCUUGGGAGGACAGACUAGAACAUGAUGAUUGGAGAAUGCAUGAAACGUGAUUAACGUCUCUGCGUAAUCAGGACUUGCAACACCCUGAUUGCUCCUAUCUGAU
rnacentral:snoRNA from 1 species